rnacentral:rRNA from 1 species
ACUCCUACGGGAGGCAGCAGUAGGGAAUCUUCGGCAAUGGACGAAAGUCUGACCGAGCAACGCCGCGUGAGUGAAGAAGGUUUUCGGAUCGUAAAACUCUGUUGUUAGAGAAGAACAAGGAUGAGAGUAACUGUUCAUCCCUUGACGGUAUCUAACCAGAAAGCCACGGCUAACUACGUGCCAGCAGCCGCGGUAAUACGUAGGUGGCAAGCGUUGUCCGGAUUUAUUGGGCGUAAAGCGAGCGCAGGCGGUUUCUUAAGUCUGAUGUGAAAGCCCCCGGCUCAACCGGGGAGGGUCAUUGGAAACUGGGAGACUUGAGUGCAGAAGAGGAGAGUGGAAUUCCAUGUGUAGCGGUGAAAUGCGUAGAUAUAUGGAGGAACACCAGUGGCGAAGGCGGCUCUCUGGUCUGUAACUGACGCUGAGGCUCGAAAGCGUGGGGAGCAAACAGGAUUAGAUACCCUGGUAGUCCACGCCGUAAACGAUGAGUGCUAAGUGUUGGAGGGUUUCCGCCCUUCAGUGCUGCAGCUAACGCAUUAAGCACUCCGCCUGGGGAGUACGACCGCAAGGU